rnacentral:rRNA from 1 species
UACGUAGGGUGCGAGCGUUGUCCGGCAUUAUUGGGCGUAAAGAGCUCGUAGGCGGUUUGUCGCGUCUGCUGUGAAAACUGGAGGCUCAACCUCCAGCCUGCAGUGGGUACGGGCAGACUAGAGUGCGGUAGGGGAGACUGGAAUUCCUGGUGUAGCGGUGGAAUGCGCAGAUAUCGGGAGGAACACCGAUGGCGAAGGCAGGUCUCUGGGCCAUUACUGACGCUGAGAAGCGAAAGCAUGGGGAGCGAACAGG